UCUGGUAUAGCUCAAUGGUAGAGCGUUGCACUGUUAAUGCAAAUGUUGUAGGUUCGAGUCCUACUACCAGAGCCA
rnacentral:tRNA from 1 species